GCUGAUUUCAUAAAGCAGCAGAGAAACGAACAUUUUCGUAUGAUCUUAAAAUAGAUUUAGGUGUUACAAACAUACCGAAUGAUGCCCCUUGUUGCAGCAUAGAUGAAUAUUUUGAAGUUUAGAAAGCAUGUUGUACUUACCAUGGAGCCCGGUAAGGACUUCUAUGAAAGGAAAAAGGACGAAAGGAAAGACUGAGAAAGCGGAGAGCUGAAUUCAUUUGCAAUAUUUUGAGAACAAAAUUAAGCUUAAAAAUGACAAAUUUGUAUUUUUUAUGAUCAAUAAUAUAACAGAAGAACUCGAGAUUUUUAUUUUGUGAAUUUAAUGUAUUUCUAGCUGAAAUUCAAAUUCAUAAAAUAAAAAGUGUCUUAACAUAAAAAA